GUUCAUUCCUGAACAUACACUAAACAUACUGGAACAUACUGAGAAGAUUAGCAUUUAACCUCAAGGAUGACACGCAAAUUCAUGAAGGGUUCCAAAAAAAAUUUU
rnacentral:snRNA from 1 species